ACGAUUACCGUAAGUCGACCAUGACCUAAUUUCGACCACUUUGUUUACAUUAAGAACGCGGCCAUUUGGAUGACGUCACACGCAAGCGCUCCGAGUAUUUCGAUGAAGUGACAUAACUACGCUUAUAAACAAAAACAAAUAAAAACAAAAUAAGGAAAAAACAGGCUUAUCUAAAACGACUUUUGUAAAAUGGGCACAGUGUGACAAUAGAGCCUGCAACCACUGGGUACACCUGUCAGUUUGUACAGAAAUUAAAGUCAUCAGAAGAGGUGCAACAUUUAUGUGCCCAAUGCCCAUGCUGUGAUAAAGAAGAGUGAAAAUUGUUCUUAAGAAAAGUGAAAGAAACUUGUUCAAUUGUAUUUAUAAAAUAUUGAAAACAUAUUUAAUAUAUAUUUACUGUUUUA